GAUGAACGCUGGCGGCGUGCCUAAUACAUGCAAGUCGAGCGAACGGACGAGAAGCUUGCUUCUCUGAUGUUAGCGGCGGACGGGUGAGUAACACGUGGAUAACCUACCUAUAAGACUGGGAUAACUUCGGGAAACCGGAGCUAAUACCGGAUAAUAUUUUGAACCGCAUGGUUCAAAAGUGAAAGACGGUCUUGCUGUCACUUAUAGAUGGAUCCGCGCUGCAUUAGCUAGUUGGUAAGGUAACGGCUUACCAAGGCAACGAUGCAUAGCCGACCUGAGAGGGUGAUCGGCCACACUGGAACUGAGACACGGUCCAGACUCCUACGGGAGGCAGCAGUAGGGAAUCUUCCGCAAUGGGCGAAAGCCUGACGGAGCAACGCCGCGUGAGUGAUGAAGGUCUUCGGAUCGUAAAACUCUGUUAUUAGGGAAGAACAUAUGUGUAAGUAACUGUGCACAUCUUGACGGUGCCUAAUCAGAAAGCCACAGCUAACUACGUG
rnacentral:rRNA from 1 species